rnacentral:rRNA from 1 species
CCUGAGAAACCCAAAAGAUCGAAUGGGGAGAUUCAUCGUCAGCGAUCCUGGCACGUGUGCGGUUCGUGAUGCCGGGGACAUCAGUCUCAUGGCACACGUCCGCAUGGUUUUAUUGCCGGGUGUCGUCGGCGUGCACUUCUCCUCUAGUAGGACGUCGCGACCCGUUGGGUGUCGGUCUACGGCCCGGGUGGGCGCCUGUCAUGUGUCUCGCUUCACGGCGUCAUGUGGCAGACCCCCGGUUGUCCGACCAGCUGCUCGGCGGUACUCGCACGGUAUCGAGCCGCAAAUAUUCGAACUGCGUCCGGCCCGCCGCAAGCGAGGCCAGUGUUUCCCGGAUGUACGGACCUAGCGCCGUCACCGGGCCUGGCCAGCUGUUGGUUGGCGGUGUCCUGGGACUGGCUCUAUCAUAAAUUAUGAUACCGGUCGGCGACGCUACUGCUUUGGGUACUUUCAGGACCCGUCUUGAAACACGGA